GCACACACACACACACACACACACAUCUAUCUAUCUAUCUAUCUAUCUAUCAUCUAUCUAUCAUCAUCAUCUAGCUAUAGUGUGUGUGUGUGUGUGUGUGUGUGUGUGU
rnacentral:miRNA from 1 species